rnacentral:rRNA from 1 species
AUUGAACGCUGGCGGCAGGCCUAACACAUGCAAGUCGAGCGGAUGAAGGGAGCUUGCUCCUGGAUUCAGCGGCGGACGGGUGAGUAAUGUCUAGGAAUCUGCCUGGUAGUGGGGGAUAACGUCCGGAAACGGGCGCUAAUACCGCAUACGUCCUGAGGGAGAAAGUGGGGGAUCUUCGGACCUCACGCUAUCAGAUGAGCCUAGGUCGGAUUAGCUAGUUGGUGGGGUAAAGGCCUACCAAGGCGACGAUCCGUAACUGGUCUGAGAGGAUGAUCAGUCACACUGGACUGAGACACGGUCCAGACUCCUACGGGAGGCAGCAGUGGGGAAUAUUGGACAAUGGGCGAAAGCCUGAUCCAGCCAUGCCGCGUGUGUGAAGAAGGUCUUCGGAUUGUAAAGCACUUUAAGUUGGGAGGAAGGGCAGUAAGUUAAUACCUUGCUGUUUUGACGUUACCAACAGAAUAAGCACCGGCUAACUUCGUG